rnacentral:rRNA from 1 species
GAUGAACGCUGGCGGCGUGCUUAACACAUGCAAGUCGAACGGAAAGGCCCAAGCUUGCUUGGGUACUCGAGUGGCGAACGGGUGAGUAACACGUGGGUGAUCUGCCCUGCACUUCGGGAUAAGCCUGGGAAACUGGGUCUAAUACCGGAUAGGACCACAUUUUGGAUGGUGUGGUGGAAAGUUUUUCGGUGUGGGCUGAGCUCGCGGCCUAUCAGCUUGUUGGUGGGGUAAUGGCCUACCAAGGCGUCGACGGGUAGCCGGCCUGAGAGGGUGUACGGCCACAUUGGGACUGAGAUACGGCCCAGACUCCGACGGGAGGCAGCAGUGGGGAAGAUUGCACAAUGGGCGCAAGCCUGAUGCAGCGACGCCGCGUGGGGGAUGACGGCCUUCGGGUUGUAAACUCCUUUCGCUAGGGACGAAGCGUUAUGUGACGGUACCUGGAGAAGAAGCACCGGCUAACUACGUG